AGGGGUUUCCCCUUAUGAAACCAUCAGAAGAUCUCAUGAGACUUAUUCACUACCACGAGGAUAGUAUGGGGGAAACUGCCCCCAUGAUUCAAUUAUCUCCCACCAGGUCCCUCCCACAACAUGUGGUAAUUAUGGGAGCUACAAUUCAUGAUGAGAUUUGGGCGGGGACACAGCCAAACCAUAUCACAUACUUAAUAAACAUUAGGUGAAUAAACAACUACAGAUGCUUGCUCUUCAAUAAAGCUGUAAUUUGGGAAAAAUCAAAGCCAUAAGGCACUA
rnacentral:lncRNA from 1 species